rnacentral:lncRNA from 1 species
GUAUUUGAGAAUUUCCCUCAAAUAUCUUUGUUGUUGAUUACUAACUCAAUUUUCUUAAAUUUGGAGAACAUAUUUUAUAUUAUUUCAAUUCUUUUAAAUAAAUUUGAGACGUGUUUUGUAGUCCACUGCAUAAUCUGUCCUGGAGAAUUUUCCAUAGGUACAUGAGAAAAACAUGAAAAGAAUAUUGACAUCUACCUCUCAUAAAUACUUUAUAGGACGUAGUUUCCUGUGUUGAGGACAUAAAUUUGUUACUUAAAUAUAAGAAUAGAUGUUGAAGAACCAAAAGGGUGAGCUGUUGCAUAUUAUCCUAUUUGCCCCUCAAAUCUGUUCUCCCAUUUUUUUCAUACUGUUGUGGAGUUAAACCCUAGAUCUUUAUCAACUAUUUCAUUUCCCUCCUUGUUAUUUGAGUCAUUUUUGAGCAAUAGCAGAAUGUAGGCAUAUUGGCAGGACUAAAAAAAGAAUGAAACUCUGUGUGUGUGUGUGUGUGUGUGUAUUUGCCUGCUUCAUACCUCCACGAUGUUGCUGUGAAUCACACACAUGGGAAGAUCACAGCUUCUAUCAGACAGCUCUCUUCACAUAAUACUUUCUUUUCAGGUUCUGGUAAUUAUUGCUUCUCCUCACCCUUUCAGACUCAGAAAUGGCAGUGAUUCUCCUGUUGUUUCUACCCCAGCUUACUACUAUAUUGUUGUUUCUUUAUGUCCUUCCUACAUUAUUCUAGAGUCUGUUAAAUUUACUCUACUUGCAAAUGCAUCUGCUUCAACUGAUUGAGCUGAAUGAUGGAGGAAAAAAAAGAUAACAGAGGUUUGGGUUCAAGAGUGUUUUAC